UCCGGCUUACACCGGCGGUCUCGUGUGAGUUCCCGACUUUACUCGCUGGUAACACACGACGAGGGUUGCGCUCGUUGGCGGACUUAACCGUACACCUCACGGCACGAGCUGACGACAGCCAUGCAACAUCUGUCUUUGGGUCCCCUUGUGGGGGAGGGCCUACUUUCAUAGGCUUACCCUCGAUGUCAAACCUGGGUAAGGUUCUUCGGUUAGUAUCGAAUUAAUCCACAUGCUCCACCGCUUGUGCGGGUCCCCGUCAAUUCAUUUGAGUUUCAACCUUGCGGCCGUAGUCCCCAGGCGGGAUGCUUAAUGCGUUAGCUGCGGCACAGGAGGGGUCGAUACCUCCUACGCCUAGCAUCCAUCGUUUAGGGCGUGGACUAC
rnacentral:misc_RNA from 1 species